rnacentral:rRNA from 1 species
GGACGGGUGAGUAACACGUGGGCAACCUGCCUGUAAGAUCGGAAUAACCCCGGGAAACCGGGGCUAAUGCCGGGUAAUACUUUCUUUCGCAUGAAGGAAAGUUGAAAGAUGGCUUCUCGCUAUCACUUACAGAUGGGCCCGCGGCGCAUUAGCUAGUUGGUGAGGUAACGGCUCACCAAGGCGACGAUGCGUAGCCGACCUGAGAGGGUGAUCGGCCACACUGGGACUGAGACACGGCCCAGACUCCUACGGGAGGCAGCAGUAGGGAAUCUUCCGCAAUGGACGAAAGUCUGACGGAGCAACGCCGCGUGAACGAUGAAGGUCUUCGGAUCGUAAAGUUCUGUUGUUAGGGAAGAACAAGUACCGUGCGAAUAGAGCGGUACCUUGACGGUACCUAACGAGGAAGCCCCGGCUAACUACGUGCCAGCAGCCGCGGUAAUACGUAGGGGGCAAGCGUUGUCCGGAAUUAUUGGGCGUAAAGCGCGCGCAGGCGGUUCCUUAAGUCUGAUGUGAAAGCCCACGGCUCAACCGUGGAGGGUCAUUGGAAACUGGGGAACUUGAGGACAGAAGAGGAGAGUGGAAUUCCACGUGUAGCGGUGAAAUGCGUAGAUAUGUGGAGGAACACCAGUGGCGAA